AUGCAGGCUCUGAUGGAUGUUCGGUGCAAGAAUCUAGUGAAUCCUGUAUGCGACUGGCUAGGUGAGAUUUACGAGCCCGCCUCCAGGGAAUUUGUGAUUCCGGGACGUGGAAGACUGCCGUUAGACAAGGAAUCCGUGUUCUGCACGUUGGGUGUGCCCCGCGGAGAGAUCAAAGUCCCGUAUGAGGUCAAUAAUACGAUUGAGGAAACGUUGUUUGCCCGUUUGUUUCCUGGGUUGACAUCCAUGCCGAACACGACCGUGCUGGAAAAUUCACUGGAGGGCAUGACAACCCAUGGCGAGGUUUUCAAGAUGAAGCUACUCAUGUACCUGAUCUCAGCUGUUUUUGCACCGACCACAUCUCUUCGCCCAAGCAACAAAUGCUUCCCCAUCCUGGAAAAACUGAAAGAAGUGAAGAACAUGAAUUGGUGUAAGUUCAUUGCGGACUUCCUGCAUGAUGCAUUCUCAAACAAGAUGUACCAGAAGGGUUGUCGGCUCCAUUUAAUGCUCAUGUACGUCGAUCGUCUUGAUCUGUCCACUGUGGACUUUACUGGGAUAGGAGGCCCGCCGCCUCCACACAAGUUUGCUGUUUCUGCGUGGACUUACGAUGCUGUCAAGGCGGUGCUUGCCGUGGACAAGAUAACUGAUAGAAAUACGGGAAACUACAGCUGA
rnacentral:rRNA from 1 species